UUGUUUGCAAAUUCGAAUAAAAACAGAAGUAAAUCACGGAAUGCUUCUCAAAUUUUCCGAACUAUCUCUACCGGAAACCACGUAAUCAACAGCUGCUCCAUCGAGACCUCCCAGCGCGGUGAAAAGGGGACUUAGCUUCGUGGCACCGUCCAGCAGGCAUCAACAGUUCGAGAGAGCGUUUAGGAUGAAAAAAGUUGUUCUACUUCGAAUCAUUGUAGUACAAGAGUCUCAGAAAAAUCCAGAUCCUCCGGAAAAGAUGUACCCUUCUCGUAUCAAAAGGCUCCAGUUCACGGGAUCUAAGAAGAAACUAUGUUAUUCAACGAGCGGAUUAAUUUAUUGUGUCAAAUUUCAUUGCCUAGUGGGUGAGAAGUAAAAGCAGGAUGAAUAACAACAGAAAGAGAUUGAAAUGCCUCCCUUCGAGAAAUUAUUGCAAGAUGAAGUAGCAUCACAUAUUUGACAUGAUUCCUUUCUGGCCAAAGCUGAAGUAGUGAACGAUCUCUCACGGUGGUGUCGUGUGAUCAAUAAGUGGAAAUCAAUAUUUCGGAAUAUGCUUCCUGAGUAAUAAGUUAUUCACCAAAUAAUUACUCGUCGAUAAUGAUAUUUUCUGCACAUGUUGUUUCAAUUAUAAUAAGGAUAAGCCAAUGAAUCACAAGUGAGUCUGGUUUGAUACCAAGAAACAUAUUUAAGAGAAAUCGAUUCCUAAAGGCUGAAGACUGAUAUAUUGCAUCCAAGGGCUGGUGCCGAAUAAAUUGGCUCCGCUAUUCUGAACCCUUUUAGGGGUGAAUCAUUCAAACAGAUGAAAAUCCCAGGAAAAAAUUCUCUAACCCCGAAAUAGUAAAAAAUCCUGACAAAUCGAAGUCUUGGGAGAAUCUGUUCGACAGACGACAAGAAAAUUUCUAUAAAAUGAACGAACAUUUUGGAGCAAGAGAAUGGUGUAAAAUGAUAAUCUUGUUUGAUCGUGAUGGU